rnacentral:rRNA from 1 species
GUAGGGAAUAUUGCACAAUGGGCGAAAGCCUGAUGCAGCAACGCCGCGUGCACGAUGAAGGCCUUCGGGUCGUAAAGUGCUUUUUGAGGAGACGAGGAAGGACGGUAUCCUCAGAAUAAGGAUCGGCUAACUACGUGCCAGCAGCCGCGGUAAAACGUAGGAUCCGAGCGUUAUCCGAAUUCACUGGGCGUAAAGCGCGUGCAGGCGGUUCGGUAAGUUGGAUGUAAAAACUCCUGGCUCAACUGGGAGGGGACGUUCAAUACUGUCGGACUAGAGGACGGCAGAGGAAGGUGGAAUUCCCGGUGUAGUGGUGAAAUGCGUAGAUAUCGGGAGGAACACCAGUGGCGAAGGCGGCCUUCUGGGCCGUACCUGACGCUCAGACGCGAAAGCUAGGGGAGCAAACGGGAUUAGAAACCCCGGUAGUCC